GAGCGUGGCGACCAGGGCAUGGCGCGGCAGUACAGGGCGUGGCACGGCAGCUGGCGUGGCAGUUCGCGCAGGCAAGGCAAGCAGGGAGAGCAGAGUGUUCCGCCCCCCCCGCCCAUACGAACAACUCCUCUAACGGCUGUCGACCACUAGUGGCUUGUCUCUCUCCACGGUGGAACGUGACAGCACAAGGAUAUCUCUGUGGCUGUGUUGCCUGCUUGCUCACAACGCAGAUAAUAAAGUGAAACACUGGGCUAAUGGAAAGCAGCUUGCACAAGCUGAGCACUAUGGAAUAUUCAUCCAGCAUGCAGCAUAUGUAUGGCUGCUGCUCAGUCUAAAGACCAGCACAUACUUGGACUGUUUUUCCAGUUGAAAUGGCACUUGUUAGCCACUGGGUCGAGGAGAGAGACAUCAGAGGUAGCUGCGGCCUCUCAGCAGUGUGGGGCAGGAAUAGGAGAAAUGGAAGGGGGAGCCAGAGAGCACCAGAGCUGCUGUUCCUGCCCUGCAGGAGAACCAGAGACCCUUAUCUCUACCAAUGACUCCUGUCCCCUGUAGCUGGAACCACCACCUAAUAUUUCCCAUUAUUUCUUGUUGGCUUCUGGCAGUCUCCUGCUUCAGGCAACUGAUAAAUGUGCCUGUGUCUUAAAGAUAGCCAGAGAGUAGGUGCAGGAUGAUGACAUUCAUUCCCCUCACCCACCUCAUUUUUUCCCCUGGAGACAUUUUUUUUUCUUCUAGAUCUGCAUUGUAACGUUAGAGCUCCAUUUGUGUGUUAUGUCUGAGCCCAGCUGAAAGUUAUUGAUGAUUUCUACUUUCAGCCUUUUUGUGACUGUGUUUUAGUGAUAUUGACAAACAAACCAAAAAAAAAAUACAAAAAAUACACUUGACAAUUUAAUUAUUUAGUGCUAUCUAACUUACAGGUAUACGUGCCAUAAUUAAAGGUUUAUGUAGGUAAUAACUAUCUCUGAUGUGCUAUCUAAAUCAUAUUUUAUAUAUAAUAUGUCCCUCAUGCAUGAAACUUCCUUUUGACUAAACAAGUUUUGAUUAAACAUGUAACUUUUAAGGGUAUUUCUGAUCAACUGACGGUGAGAAAUAAUCUUGUCUUUGUCUAUGUAUCUCCCCAUGCUUCUAAAAUUUGCUAGAAAUUCUGUAUCUUUCCAUCUGUGACCUAAUUUCACUGCCAAUGAAGUUUACAGGAGUUCUUUCCGCUGGCUCCAUACAAAACCAGAUCAGGCCACUAGAGAACAAAAAUAAGUUACAUUCAUAAGUUGGAAGCUACCACAGGCAUUGAUCAAUACACACAUGAAUUUAUGCCCAGGCAGGGUUUGCAAUUUGGUGUUCUUCUCUUGGGAAUACCAGGAUGCCCUCUGUCAUGCAGGGAAGGGUGCAAAUCUAAAGUGAUGCUGGGUUUUACUGUCCUGAUGGGGGUUGAGACCCCCAUUUGGGGUAUUAUUUGGAGCAGGUGUUGAGACCUUGUCAAUGGCAUCACUAGUACAUUGCUUCAGAGAUGCCUGGCCAUGAGCAAUGUUACCUCUAAGUAGAGCUGCUUCUAAUUCUAUUUUGAGCCUGUGUCCUUUUUUACCUUUCAGUGCUGUCAUUCAAGUUUUAGGGUGAGGAUCUUACCUUUUUUUCAUUAAAAAUUGUUAGUUCUACAAAAAAAAAAUAAAAAUGGUGCACUUAAAGAUAGGCUUGCAAAAGCACAUAAUUUCAGAAAUAUUUACCAAAAAAUAUUCCUCAGUUUAUUGAAUACAUCUUUUGAGAUCUUUCAGUCUAAGUAUUCUUUAACCUAUUAAGACCAGCUAUUAAAUGUAUUUCAACUUCAAAGUAGGAGUAAAAAUGCUAUUGAAUAUAUAAAGUGAUGUUAUUAAAAAACAAACAAACAAAAAAGCUAAAAGCAUGUCUGUUAUCUUUCUUCUCCCAGAGGACAUUUCCCCCAUUAUCUGUCUUGACAAACAACUAGUCUCUCUAAUAAAUAAUUCAACAGGAGGAGACUCCAGGGCUGUCUGUAUAAAAUUAUGGCAUACAUUGUCUGAUGUCCUUGCUAGCCAGGAGAAACUAAGAGCUGGUGAAAUGGCAUUGUUAAAUCCCUGGACUGUCCCCUCAAUUUUCAGGUUUCUACAGUUAGAAAGUGACUGCUCCACCAGAGAAACAAAGACUAGAAUAAGUUUUGUGGUGUUUUUUUUUUGUUGGUUGGUUGGUUGGUUGGUUUGCUUUGGUUUUGUUCCCCUCAAAGCUUUUUUUUUUUUCUUUUUUGAACUCGUUAGGUCUGUCUGAAUAGCAUAAAUAAUUCUCCAGAAUUCAUUGUCUAAUUCAAGAUGAAUUGAGCAGUUGUUUUUAAGUUGUUAGUGUGGUGUUUUUUUUUUUUUACCUUACUGAAAUAAGCAUUUUAAGUUCCUGGCAUGUUAAAAAGGAAAAUGAGUCAGAUAACUGAAAGAGGGAGAUUGUACUCUGUGCCCAAACUAUUUGUGUUAAACUCUGUGUGGGUAAUGCACAUUCAACAUAAAUUCUUGAAAGUUUGAGGGUCAUACUAAUUUCAGGUGAAGUCUUAACCUCAACAAUCUUUCUUUUCAUUGUGAAGAUAGUACUUAAGGAAUGAAAAGGCUGGGAAUAAUUAGUACUGUGCUUUCACACACAUUAUGACUGCAUUAACUAUUAAAGAAUUCAGUGGCAGCGACAAGCUGGCAGAGAUAGCCUGAGUCAAAGCUCAGCCUGGGAGCUUCAUUGCCCUUCAGAACCUCCUGCUCCCUGCACUUGCGUAUCCUCAGCUUUGAUUUCUGCUGUGCAGCUUGCAGGAAUGUUUGGACCAUAUGAGGACUUCAUAGUAAUUUCAAAGUGAUGAAAUCUGUAUGGAUAAAAACACUGGAGUUUAGAGAAGCCCAGUUUUUAAUAAUGGUGUUAUCUUUAAAAGAUAAAGCUUCAGAAGAAUUUUUUUUGUUUAUUUUCUGCAAAUAGCAUUUAAAGAUUUGUGGAACUGUGACGUCAAAGCAGAAAGUGGUGUAUUACAGCUUCUUAGUUCAGUGUACAGUUAGGUUUUAAUACAAUACUGUUUCAUUAAGGGUUAUAGAUUUUUUUUUCAGCAUCACUUAGAAUUCUCAAUCAUAACCAAGACUACAUCAGUCCAUGCACCUAAAACUACAGGAUCUUACAAGCAAGAUACGCACUGGGUGGACAUGAAAAUAUUUUAUGGGCUUGCUUUGUUUGUUCUGUAUUGAUGGAAAGCUGAAUAGAAUAAAGUCAUUUACACAAA